GCCCCUUUCCGUAGGUGAACCUGCGGAGGGAUCAUUA
rnacentral:rRNA from 1 species